AUACGGAGGGUGCAAGCGUUAAUCGGAAUUACUGGGCGUAAAGCGCGCGUAGGCGGCUUUGUAAGUCGGAUGUGAAAGCCCUGGGCUCAACCUGGGAAUGGCAUUCGAUACUGCAGAGCUAGAGUAUGGUAGAGGGAAGUGGAAUUUCCGGUGUAGCGGUGAAAUGCGUAGAUAUCGGAAGGAACACCAGUGGCGAAGGCGACUUCCUGGGCCAAUACUGACGCUGAGGUGCGAAAGCGUGGGGAGCAAACAGGAUUAGAUACCCCUGUAGUCC
rnacentral:rRNA from 1 species